CCUACGGGUGGCAGCAGUGGGGAAUAUUGCGCAAUGGGCGAAAGCCUGACGCAGCGACGCCGCGUGGGUGAUGAAGGCCUUCGGGUCGUAAAGCCCUGUCAAGAGGGACGAAACCUCGCCGACCUAACACGUCGGCGACCUGACGGUACCUCUGAAGGAAGCACCGGCUAACUCCGUGCCAGCAGCCGCGGUAAUACGGAGGGUGCAAGCGUUGUUCGGAAUCACUGGGCGUAAAGCGCGUGUAGGCGGCCUUCUCAGUCUGGUGUGAAAGCCCGGGGCUCACCCCCGGAAGUGCAUUGGAUACUGGAAGGCUGGAGUACCGGAGAGGAGGGUGGAAUUCCUGGUGUAGCGGUGAAAUGCGUAGAUAUCAGGAGGAACACCGGUGGCGAAGGCGGCCCUCUGGACGGAUACUGACGCUGAGACGCGACAGCGUGGGGAGC
rnacentral:rRNA from 1 species